rnacentral:rRNA from 1 species
UUGGUGGGGUAAUGGCCUACCAAGGCGACGACGGGUAGCCGGCCUGAGUGGGUGUCCGGCCACACUGGGACUGAGAUACGGCCCAGACUCCUACGGGAGGCAGCAGUGGGGAAUAUUGCACAAUGGGCGCAAGCCUGAUGCAGCGACGCCGCGUGAGGGAUGACGGCCUUCGGGUUGUAAACCUCUUUCAGCAGGGACGAAGCGCAAGUGACGGUACCUGUAGAAGAAGGACCGGCCAACUACGUGCCAGCAGCCGCGGUAAUACGUAGGGUCCGAGCGUUGUCCGGAAUUACUGGGCGUAAAGAGCUCGUAGGUGGUUUGUCGCGUUGUUCGUGAAAACUCACAGCUUAACUGUGGGCGUGCGGGCGAUACGGGCAGACUUGAGUACUGCAGGGGAGACUGGAAUUCCUGGUGUAGCGGUGGAAUGCGCAGAUAUCAGGAGGAACACCGGUGGCGAAGGCGGGUCUCUGGGCAGUAACUGACGCUGAGGAGCGAAAGCGUGGGGAGCGAACAGGAUUAGAUACCCUGGUAGUCCACGCCGUAAACGGUGGGUACUAGGUGUGGGUUUCCUUCCUUGGGAUCCGUGCCGUAGCUAACGCACUAAGUACCCCGCCUGGGGAGUACGG